UAAUAAAACCACCCCACGAGCAUUCAGAGUACUCACCAUAAUGCUUUCGGCCCAAGACUGUGAGGGCUGCCAGGGACAGAACCGAGCCUGGGAAGUGUGUGGGCAAAGCUCGCUGAGUCUGGGGGUCAUGGAGGAGGGAUCUGGUCUUCAAUCUGCUCCACUGUCAUUUGCAGAAACCCCAUGGUAACUUCCUGUCCCAGUCUGCACAUCUUCUCCAGCAGACAACUGGGAACUUGCUACUAGAAAGCAGAAAACUAAGCAUCAGAAGCUAACUGCACAGUGCCUGGCUUUAGCCUGCUUCUGAAGCAGACCUGCCAGCCUCUUUCCUCUUUGCUACUGCCAAGCAGCUCUUGAUAAGUUGGCAUGGUCCCACCUCUCCAACUGCUUUCCUUCAAAACGGCCAAUUGCUGUAUUUUCCUUUGCUUGAAUUGCCAGAUUCUAUCUCCAGUUUGGGCCAUGCACGUAGGCAAAGGGGAGCCUGCAAGUGCCAGGCACCUCUUGGCUUUGGUAACUGGGGCAAAAACAGACACUGCAACUAGGAAGCCAUUGGAUGACACCCUUAAAUCCUUCUUCCACAGCAGGCAUCGCUGACAGAUCUGAGCCCUAGUCCUCACAGCCUAGAGCACAGUCUACUCUGCAGCUCAGCUGCCCGAGUAACUUUGCCUAGAGUUUAGUGUGGAUCCCUAAAGACAACCAAAGCCAGGAGCCAAAUGGUGAUUCUUUGAGACAAUACAAGACAGGUUUUUCCAAGCAAGUAACUGGUUAUCCUUAAAAUCCACCCCCAUUCAACAGAUGGAAAAAUUGAGACUGAGAACGUGGGUGGCUUAAGAUCGUGUGCCUAGUAAGUGACAGAUGGAGUGAGUGAAACUAGUCCUAUUUACACCUGAAACCCGCUGUCCCUGGAGGGUCACACAGCCUUCAGAGAGGGGACCGAGAAGGAGCCAGGACAAGACAGUGUGGGGUCAGACAGAGAGAGAAACUUAGUUCCUAGGAGAAAGGGGGAGAGAGACAGGAGGAAGAUGGCAGAACAAAUCACCCAGGUUCCCCAGUCCAACCUAGGCCUGGGCCUGGGCUGAAACCAGAGAACCUACGUGGAAGCCAGGAGUCUCACCAGAACACAGGGGCUGUGCCUAGCGGGACUCAGGACAGUUCCUUGCCAGCCACGAAGAGAAUUGAGUGGACAAUAUCUACUGUGUGAUAAAGUUUCCCGGCACAGACCCUCGGUGAAACACACGGCCCUUGACGUAUCUGGUUGCACGUGUCAGCGUCUUCCAACCAUAACAAAACAACUGAGAGCGGUAUCUUAGAAGGGAAGGCUUGUGGUUCACUCCAUAGUUACCUCGGUUGCCUUAGGCCUGUGACUGCACACUUUAUCAUGGUUGGACACACAAAGCUGAACACAUCAUGCCAGCUGAGAAGCCAGAGAGAGAAAGAAAUGGACAAGAAUCCCAUCAUGGCUCUCAAGGAGAAGCCCCCAGUGGCCUAACGGCCUCCCACCGGGUCCCACCAGUCAGAUGCUCUACCGCCUUGUGUAGGCUGGUGACCAAGCCUUUAAUACCUACCCUGUGGAGGACAAGCCCUAGUCCUGUUCAGGACACAGUCUGUGGCUGCAAGCAUCUUUGCAUUGCUACACAGCGUGACAGCAUUGACGUCACCCAAGUUCCUUCCUCUGGCUCUGAAAUCACUUGGUCAUUGGCUUCUCCCCUACUUUCUGGAAUAAACACACAUAACUGAGUCCAGCCAAAUGAGCUUCCACAUGGAAUCUGACGUUUAUCAAGGAAGAAACAAUAAAAAAUGUGCUAGUUUA